rnacentral:tRNA from 1 species
GGUCCCAUAGCUCAGUUGGUUAGAGCGUCGUACUAAUAUAAUAACACCCUGUUAUAUCUAGUUCAUGCGAAGGCCGGCGGUUCGAGCCCGCCUGGGACCA